UGAUGUAGAGCGUUAGUCUAUAGGAACUUCUAUACUGUCUGAUACAAGCUUCCCCUGCAUCAAGUUUAAUAGCAACUGAUAGAAAGUCCUAAAUAAUGACCAUUGUUAUUUAAAAAAAAAAAUAGUUGUUUUAAUCCUUCACCCUAUAGAAUAACCUCAGGAAUUGACAUUUUCUUGUGAUGUGUGUCUCUGACUGUCUGAGCAGCUGGUCGUAGUGAGUCACUGAAAACAGCUGUCUAGCCUCUCUGUCUUUAUGGUAACCCUCUC